rnacentral:rRNA from 1 species
UACGAAGGGUGCAAGCGUUGUCCGGAAUUAUUGGGCGUAAAGAGCUUGUAGGCGGUUUGUCGCGUCUGCUGUGAAAUUUCGGGGCUCAACCCCGAACUUGCAGUGGGUACGGGCAGACUAGAGUGUGGUAGGGGAGACUGGAAUUCCUGGUGUAGCGGUGAAAUGCGCAGAUAUCAGGAGGAACACCGAUGGCGAAGGCAGGUCUCUGGGCCACUACUGACGCUGAGAAGCGAAAGCAUGGGGAGCGAACAGG